AUAAGCGCUAUGAAGAGGAAUAGUAAAUGCAAAGAUGCUUUACAGAGAGAAGGACCCACUGGAUGAGAGGUUUUUCAAGCUUAUUUAUAUUGAACCCGCCCUCAGAGCAUGCAAACAAAAUUUGCCGCAUACCUGCGAUAUGGGUUUUGAGAGAAUGUAAUAAUCAAAGAAGUAAAGCCAAAAAGCGAGCUUUGCGUUGGUUAAUAUUACAUUAACUAGGGUGGUAACACGGAAUAAUGUCUUCGUCCCUUUA
rnacentral:ncRNA from 1 species